CAGGUAUGAUCUACUUGAAACCAAGUUGAAACUUAUUUGAAAUGUUCUUGAUACCAUUAUGUCUGAGAUGAUUUACAUUUUUUGUAGGAUGUCGACGAGAUCGCCGAUAAACAGCGGAGUAAAGUGGAGAACUUGGCCAAAUACGUCCAUUUGCAGGAGGUAGGCACAUUUCAAAUUAUUAUUUCGGUCAGAAAAUAUUAACUAUUUUACACCAAACCAGUGAUAAUAUAUUUAAAUAAGUACCAUUUAUGUUUCUAUCAAAAAGAUUUAGGGAAAAAGGUAAUGUAAGUCCACUGCUGUUUAUCUGAAUUUGCAAGCCACAAAUUGACGUUUAACUAUGAUUAUUGCAUGGCCAUUUUCUUGUGAAAUAUUAGUGCUAGGCAUUUCACACUUACCAAUUACCACCCCCAAAAGUACCAUCUCUGAACCAUAUAAGCACCUCAGAAUAGCCAAAGCUUUUAUGGUUUGGUAGAUAGCAGUAUGGCAAAAGCGUCGUUUUUGGGUGUGGUCAGUUUCGGACGUUUCGCCCCGGAUUGGGGUUCGGGCAGCGUUACCAUGUUGACCGUCAUGGUCAACUUACCCUAAAACAGUUGAGAUUAUCUGUCCUAAAUGAAAUGCAUACAAACUCAUAUACAGGUCCUAGACUAUUUGAAGGUAGCUUGUAUGUCAGGCUCGAUGCUUGAAAUAGAGCCUGUUAUACCCUGUGAGAAAAGUCCUCUCGUAUUUCUUCUCGGCACGGCACAGAUUGCAAUCAAAUUAAAUAUCAGUUUUCCAGCAAAUCUACCAAAUCCCCCAUGAUGGAAAAUGUCAAAAUCCUCACCCCAGAGCUAAAAAAUAUCGGCAAUAGCCCCACCCCCGUGAUUAGGAACUGCUGGAAUUAAUUGAUAUAUUAGAUUAUCAAAGCUAAUUUAAAAUAUGACAGUAACGGCCAACUUUUCCACCAAUAUCUCAAAACUAAAUAUUCCAAUUUUUAUCGAAUGGCCAGGAAUUACAUAUUAAAUAAUAAUAUUAAUAACUGUUAUUGACUGCAGCAAAGGCAGUCAUUAACAUGGCCAAAAGUAGUUAAAGUACAAUUACAAGUACGGAAUAUCAUUACGUAAACAACAAUUUGGCAUUACCUUAAAAACAAAGCUAUUUAUUUCUGACCAAUGGGAAUUUUGCGUACGAAUCAUGUGCAUCAAUCCUUUUUACUGACCUCAGUAGCAGGCUUUAUUUCAGGCAUAAAGCCUGACACGCUAGUUACUUUUAAUAACCCAUUGAGUUGCAUUGCCCCCCUCCCCCCCCUACGUAAUUUCAAUACAUUGUUUUCACCAUUGUGUUUAAUAUACAACCUUGAAAAUUUACUACACGUGUAGUAGGAAUUUCCAUUGUGUUUGCAGCCCUUACACUUUGUGUUUCAUUAUGGCAUCUUGAUCUUCAAAGAGUCUAUUACUGUGGCUCCAACAUUUUCCCGUUCGGCGUUAGAAACACAAUACAUUGAUCAUAAAAGGACUGAAAUAUUACAGAUUUAACCCAAAUAAACAGCAGUUUGCGAAUAUUACUGUUGCGAUUUACAAAGGUUGCGGCCACUGAGGUUGCGGCACCGCCGGCACGUUCCAACUUUGUAAAAUUGAAAAUUAUGAACUUUUGUCCUCUAUUUCAAGCUUGUAGCCUUCCAAGUUUACUCACAUAAAAUGACUUUCGCUUUAUAAAGUCUGUUUCAUCGGAAAACUUUUAAGGUUCAUCGGAAAAAUAAAAAAAAUAUGUACAAAAUCGAUACCAUUCGCUCGUAGCAAGCGGCCAUCUUGAAUUCAACGACAAUAGUAAUGACGCAAUUUUUAUUUCUUAUUAAUGACGUAAUUGUCAUUUUGUGGCUAACGAUCCAAGAUCCGACACAAAUGCGUGCCGAAACCUAGAGUCGCCGCGGGCUCUGCCCAGCGACUAAUAAUUUUAGUUCCUUCCUCAGACUUUUUCUUGAAUUUUUAUGUAUUAAAUAAAUUAAGCUUCAAUGUAUAUCUCUAUAAAUCUCUUCCUUUUUCCAGGGAUGCGAAUGACCAACUACCAAUACAUAUAGCAACAAGUAAAGGUAUACGGAACAACAUUGAACUCUUGUUACGAGAAGAUCCUGAUGUUGUUGAUGAGGUCGAUAAUUCUGACCAAUCACCGAUAUUGUUGGCAGCUAAGAAUGGCUUCCCUAAUGUCGUAUCAUAUUUACUCACUAAAAAUGCUAAUUACAAAAUGAAAGAUAAAUACGGUCUUACAGCGUUUGAUUGGGCAGUGAAGCGCUCAUUACCAGAUGUUGUUCAGGUUUUCCUUAAUAUAGAUGGCUGGAAAGAGGUAAAUAUAUACAGAAAAUUAGCCUAUUUAUUAGAUUAGACUCAAGGGACGAGUAAAAUCUAGCUAUAAGGACUG
rnacentral:lncRNA from 1 species